rnacentral:sRNA from 1 species
CUUGGAUUCGAAAAAAAGCUUCUGCUCCAAAUUUCAGGAGUGAAUUCCCUCACCAAAUUUCAAAAGCCAAUUAGCUCCUGAUCGUUCCAAUUGAACUUCCUUUCCUUCAGUUGUUCCCAUCAACAUCAUCUCCCUGGAACCUACGAGCUUAGUUGGGAUUCCAGUUUUCCGAUGAUGAUCGACGAUCCCGGCAACGCCCGCCAUCGAGGUUGGUCUGAAACGAUUCCUCAUCACCUAUGCACUAUUGACAAUGGAAUCAUAGAAAACUCAACAUGAGCCAUUCCAGCCGCCACUUCAUGUCGAAAGAAGAACGAGCAAGCCACUUUCUUGGAGGAUUUGAAGGAUCACAUUAAUGAUCUUGUCAAUGCAUCUAAGGAUGAACACAAAACUUGCUUCAAGAACACCAUGCAGAAGUUGUUUGGAAUGUCAAAGAUUGUUGUUGAGAGGAGCCAUGACACCACGAAAGUUUAGGGUACUCUUCCCCUUCAAGCCACAGUACAAAAUAGAACAUCUUCUUUUAUGUUUUGUAGGCAGAUACAUCUUGAGAACCAAACUUCGCUUUCUGGCUUUAACCAAUUAGAUUCUGGUGAUGUAUAUUUUUUUUUAAAUAUUGGCACCUGCACUUCCAAUUUCUAUUAUGGUCGUUCUUAGUAUGUAGUAUGUACCACGUCACCGUCAAAUUUGAUGGGUGAGAUCUACCCAAAGAAACUCUAUUGUUUCUUGAAUUAAUAUACAUGGCUAU